CAGAAGUAUGGUUCAAGCCUUACAGGCACAAGGUGACUCAGAGAUUGGCUAGGUUGCGGUGCAUAGAGAUGCCGGUGAAAGAAUAAUGCCCUACCUACAAUCCAAUCGCAAGAGUGAUGCAAUAGGAUAUUUUUUCUAUAUUUUUUCUUUCAAACUCAUGUAUUUGAUAUUGAUUAUUAAUAAAAUUAGGUAUUUGUUUCUUUAUAUGCUGCAUCUUAAUGCUUGUUGAA
rnacentral:lncRNA from 1 species